rnacentral:lncRNA from 1 species
UUCUAAUUUUCCUGUGGUGGGCCUUAUGUAGGACCAAUCCAAGAUGUAUUUGCAACCCUCACUCAUGGCACGUGGCAAUCCAGAUGAAAUCCUUCAUGAUUCCAAUACCCUGCCUUCUAGUUCGUGUGUCUGCCAGAGAAGAUAGACAGGUUCAAGUUUACAAAUACCACGACGGAAAGCAUGCCAAUAAAUCAUAUGCCACUACAUUUUGGAGUCCUGAAGAACUGCAACCACGACAUCAGAAUGAUGAAUUUAAAGAUGGCUCGGCAAUACUUCUGUAGUUUAACCAAAUAUAUAGGCUGUUGUGGAAGGCAACUAACCUUAGCCAAUCCAUAAAGUGCUUCACAAGAUAUUUCUAUAGCUCUAGUAUAGCAAAUUGAACAAAGCUACUAGUAAAGGAUGUGCAAAUACAUGUGUACUAGGGAAAGAAAACAAUUGUACGAUCAAUCGCAUCUUAGCUAUAAAAAUUCAUUGAUGCAGUAGUACUAUAUCACCUGGGACAUUGAUUUACGUUAAAAUCUUAGCUUUACAUUAGUGCCUUUGAUUGCCCAUCCGAUUGGAAAAAAAUAUAUAUAAUAAAACAUUGUUUUAAACUACGAUUGUUAC